rnacentral:rRNA from 1 species
AUUUUAUGCUCUGUAAUUGGAAUGAUGGGAAUGUAAAACCCUUCCAGAGUAACAAUUGGAGGAUAAGUCUGGUGCCAGCAGCCGCGGUAAUUCCAGCUCCAAUAGUGUAUAUUAGAGUUGUUGCAGUUAAAAAGCUCGUAGUUGGAUUUCUGCUGUGGUCAUCCGGUACCGCCCGUAUGGGUGCGCACCUGGUUUGGCUCCGGCUUUCUUCCUGUAGCCGUCCGCGCUUAAUUGCGUGUACUGUGUUACGGAACUUUUACUUUGAGAAAAAUAGAGUGUUUCAAGCAGGCUUGUCGCCCUGAAUACUUCAGCAUGGAAUAAUAGGAUAGGACCUUGGUUCUAUUUUGUUGGUUUCUAGGACCAAGGUAAUGAUUAAUAGGGACAGUUGGGGGGGCA